UUAAGUUCAGCGGGUAGUCCUACUCGAUUUGAGGUCAAGUUGUCAGUUGUUGUCCGAAGACGGUUUGAAGCACAGAGCUCCCGAUCGGCCCACCCUCUAGUGAGGCGCCGGCGAAGAUACUUAUCACGCCGUACUAUGUCCAACCAAGAGUUGCACUACUCCAUUUGAGGCGAGCCACAGUGAAGCAGCAACACCCAAGU
rnacentral:misc_RNA from 1 species